rnacentral:rRNA from 2 species
UACGGAGGGGGCGAGCGUUAUUCGGAAUUAUUGGGCGUAAAGGGCGCGUAGGCGGCCCGGUAAGUCAAAGGUGAAAUCCCUCGGCUCAACUGAGGAACUGCCUUUGAAACUGUCGGGCUUGAGGCCGGGAGGGGGUAGCGGAAUUCCCAGUGUAGCGGUGAAAUGCGUAGAUAUUGGGAGGAACACCAGUGGCGAAGGCGGCUACCUGGACCGGUUCUGACGCUGAUGCGCGAAAGCGUGGGUAGCAAACAGG